ensembl:lncRNA
UUUGCUAUAUGUUAUUAAUUUUCUGUAUGUAACUAAACAAUAGCAACAGCUUUACUCCACUCCACUGCACCUCAGCUGGGGGUAUUCAGAAAUGUUCUGGUUCCCAGAAUCAUUUCCUACCAUGGUGGCCUUAAUAAUGUCUGUUCAGAGCCUGCAGUUGUUUCCUUUCUAUUUUAAAUAAAAUAUUUAUGAUACAGUUAAAAAUAGGCAUUAUUGGAAGACUGCGGGCAAAUAUACUCUCCUUUAUUGCGUUGCCUCGCUUCAAGAAGAUUUUGCAGUACAGAUACAGUUCUCUUUCUGAAGAUAACUUUUGGCUGAAAUGCAUGUUCUUUUACCGGGUUUCAAAGCAGCAAACCAGGAUGUAAGUAUAGAAUUUGCUUUUAAUACCUGAGAAGUAAAGUUAAGUACUCUCUGGUCAAUCAGUGACUCUUUUUAUUGAUCCUAAAGAGCAUGCAAGACAGUAACACUUCUGAAACACAUGGAAAGCAUGCAUUCCAGAUGGGAAGGAAGCUGGAAUACUUAGUUAUAGUUUGUAGGAAUAUGAAGUUAGAGUUUAUUAUGAAAAGAUCAGAAUCCUGAUAGAUUAGGGUCUUUAAUAUACUGGAUUGUGAUAUGCUAUUUGAAACCCACUCUCACAAACCCCAUUGGAAAAACUCAACCUUUGCGGAAGUAUACUGAACACAUGCAAAAUUUGUUUUAUGAGGGUGAUAAACAGCAGCAUUGUUACAAAGUUAUUUUCACGUUUCCUUGUUACAUGACUAAGUUUUAAUGAUUUUUUUUUUAUCUUUGAAUGAGGCUUUCAUAUUUCUCAAGCUAUUUGAGAACCUCCCACUCCUCCGGUCCUCAGAGCUUUGUAGCCAGCCUUGCUCAGAGGACAUUCCAGUCUUGUCACUGCACAGCUGCACUUGGCAGCAAGCCCUCCACACAAGGCCUUUGCCAAAGCGGCACUUGGACCCCCCAAACGCUCUCCUGAAACAAUGGCCAAUAAUACAACAUUUGUAUAACUGCUAAAAAUCUUUUUGCCUUAGAAUGAAUUUGUUUACUUCAGUUAUAGAACGUGUUAUAUAUUUGACGUCACUGGGUUUACCCUCAAAGUGUGCUGUGGAAACUACCACCUUGUCUUAUAUUUCACAGGCUGAUGGGUAGCAUAAGGUUAAUACACUGAGCUGCCUAUAAAUAAGAUCCACUACAUUCUUUCUGUUGUAUGCCUGCUCUUUGGUCAGGGAGUUAUCUCCUUGGAACUCUUUGCUUUCUAAGUUUUAUAAGUGCUUAUGUUAAAGAUCAGCCAUGAAAAGGAGCAAAAGGAUAAAAAGUAACAUACUUGGAAGAUAUUUCUUUCCUUUUCCUUACAUACUGAAAUUAACCUCAGUCAUUUUGUGUGCCUGGUACUCAAGCAUUUGAUUCCAGAUAGAGGAAGGCUGAAAGCUGUGUAUUUCUUUAGUCCUAUUCUAAACUUUAAAAUCCCCUAUUUUGUGUGGAUACGAAUUUGAUGCCGCUUCUAUGAAAUCAUAAUGAAUAAAUAAAUACGUAAGUAAAUAAGAAAUUAUGUUUGACUAAGCUAUAUUAGACCUCAGAGGCCUUGAGUGCUUCACACAUCUUCUCUUCAUAAUUUUUCUCAUCCUGUAGGCUGGUAGUAUUUUGAACCACAGUACUAGGAAUUCUCCCUCCACAAAGGAAAACUGCAAGUUAGAAGUAGUGGCAGUUAAACAUUAUGAAAAUACUUAAGGAUGUUUCAACUUAGUGCAAUUUUAAAACGUAUGUCAGGUUCUGCCUUUUUGUUUUUUAAUACAAGCUAACUUUCUAUUUUAAAAUAAUCAUUUUGUUUUAAACUAAACACAGUGCUGGUUAAACAUGUCCAAAAAACCUCAGACAUCCUUUCUGCACAUAGCAGGAAGAGCACAUGGCAAUAGCAGUGCAAAGUUGCCUCCUACCAGUAUUGUGUUGAGGGAGCAUAUCUAGUUCCAACUGAACAAAGUCUCUCCAUGUACUUUCUAUGAGGAUUUUCUUAAAUCCCACAUAAAACCUUGCUGAGAGUAAAUCAGUCUAUGCCCAUUUGCACCUCAUUUCGGCUGCUUAUCUCUCCUGUAUGGAUUUUCUCCUUAUUACAUAUCGUGGAAUAGAAACAAAUUUCUUUAAGACAAAACUCAAAUUAAUUUUUUCAGGAAUAGAGCAAUUUUUACUGUUCCCUUUAUUGUUUUGUUGUGAUUGUUUAUUUUAAAAAAUCUAUAUGGGAAUUCCGAACACUCAAACUGUAAGCAAUUGUAGUAUGUUUUUUUAGUCACCUUUUCAGUAGUGCUCUUCUUCAGUUCUAAGCUUCAACCCAAGUAAAGAACUUAUGGUGAUAAGCAUAGCAGAAAUACUAAGUCACAGCUUCGAACACUGAUUGAGCACCUGGUGGGAAGGCAGGGCUAACCGAGGGAGCUCAGGUGUGUGUAGUGCACCUGAGUGACUAGAAGGGCUGGAGCUAGGGCCCUCCUCAUUUAAGGCUUGGUAGUGGAGGUGUGGGUAUUCUACUGGAGAUUCCUGUGUUCCUCAGGUCUUCUGAAGGUAAGUAGAUUUUUUCUUUUGUUUCUGUGUUCAUAGCUGUUGUAUUUGAGCAAGUUUUUGCUUGUUAUGGCCUAGGACUUUGCUAUUCUGCUGUCACUGCUGCACUUUCCAUUAUGUUACAGUAGGUUUUUCAUUGCUGUAGGCAAGUGGAUGAAAAAAAUGUGCUAAUACCUGGGAAAAUAAUCAGGCUUCUCAAGAAGUAAGCGGGCUUUUUGCAGUUGUUGCUUUAACCUAAAAAACUUUUUUUUUUUUAAUGUUGUCUUCUGGCUUGGAAAUAUUAAGCUCAAUUUAUCCAACUGUGAGGAUGAUUCUAUCAAUGCUGAUUAUAAAUUAUGGGAUGCAUUUCUAAAUCUGAUGAGUUCCUGAAAUGUAAAUAUACUCUUUUAUGUAUCUUAAAGUUUUUCUUAGGCUUGGAUCUCAAAACAUAUAUUCCAAUAAUACUCUGCAUGCAUUGUUUUCAUCUUCCUUAGUGUUUCAACUUGCCAUAGUAUUAAGAUCAGAAAUGUGGCAUGAAGGUUACUAAUUAUACUAAUUAUAUAACUUAUUUCCUUUGUUAAAGUUGCAAGUGCUGUAAGUUUAUUCUUGACAUAUCUCUAAAAUGCCAGCUCGAGAGCUAAUCCAAAUGGAAAGAUAUAUGAUAUGAAAAAAUAAAAAGACAAACAAUUACAAGAUAGAUUUCUCCAAAACAAAGUUUAGUUCACUUAGAACAGGAUGACUCAACCUUUUCUGCCAGAAAGUUAGCUAUCCCUUCACUGGGGAAUAAGAGAACACGGAAUGUACUCUUAUACUAGCUCCUGUAAUGUAGAAUUUUUCUUUCCUUAUGCAGUUGAUUUUGUUUGUCAGGCACAGCUUCUCAACCUGUGAUGAAACAUUCAAACAUUACCUAUUCAUUGACUCAUCUAGAAGGGAAUCCAUGGGCCUAGUAGGGAAGUGACACAUUACAGCUGUGCUGAUGUCUUUGCUGUUCUUAGUUGGAGUCCAAAGUAUAGCACAUGUUUACAAGGAUUCAUCUUGUGAUGAUUUUUAUUAUUAUUAUUUAUGCUAACAAAGACAUUGAACAGAAUGGCAAUCUAAAUCUCAGUGGAGUGGAGAGUUAUGUGAAGUGUUGUAACGUGUUUCUCAUGGGAACUAACAGAGGACUAAUAGUAUAAUUUUCUUUAUUCUAAAUGAACAAAAUCUUAAGAGACUCCUUUAUACUCUUUCAAGAAUGUGCAAUUGGUUUCUUUUGUAUGGUAAAAAUCCAUGAAAUUCCAUACAUGAUAAUCUAUAAGUGUCAGAGGAAAAAUGGAAAACUUUUCACCAUGGUUUAGCUAGGCUGAGUCCGUAGGGCCUUCUGAAGGAGACAUCAAUAAUUAGCAGAACUAUUUGUUACUACCUUGUUUUCAGCAAACGAUAGCUAAAGUUUCAAAACAACUACUCAACUGCUAACAGGCAGAACUGGUAGUUCUGUUUGGUGAGAGAAAUCGGUGAUUUAAUAUUGUCAGUGAUUUUAGGGUGUUUUUUUUUUUAUGGCAACAACAGCAAUUUAUUAAUAAAAUCCACAGGGAUCUCAUGACUAACAGAAAGUAAUGGGCCCUCAGCUUUCCCAUACAAGGCCCACUAGUUAGAAAUAAAUAAAUGUAAGCUGAACUGCUGUAGCCUGCAUUGAAAUGCCUAAACAAGUGGUCUGGGAUAAAGUUCAAGCAAAUUCAAGAAGUUGAAAAAAAUUAUUUGUAUUAAUAAGUCAGUGGAUGACUAAAUCUCCAGGUGGAAGAAAGAAGUCAAAUGUGUAGGCAGUCUGAGGAUGUCUUAGGAGAGGCAUUUUCAACAUUAUGUAUGAAUGCCUUUGUAAUCAGUACUGGUAGAAAAAAUAUGAAAAAAUGAAAUAAUGAAAAAAUGUGUACAGUUCUCAACCUUUUGUUUGGGGAAAAGAAGAGGUCUGGAAGAAAAUUACACAUUUUGUGGAAUUUAGAGAAACAAAAGUAAUUUUUUUUUUUUUGAAUGUUAUCCAGAAUAAGGAUAUUGUUCCAUAAGGAACAAAGAGAUAUACAACAUGAAUAAAAUGGGAACUUAGACUGGAAAUUAAAAUGCUUCUGACUUUCAAAGGAGUGAAUUUGUGAAAUAACCAAGGGGAGCACAAGAAUAAAUAUGAUGUGGUUUCCUGCACCUCUCUUAUAUAGAUUUGCUGAGCUUAACAAUAAAGUUAGAGUGAAAAGCAUGAGUGUAAACAAGGUGAGAUAAAGAAGAGUAUGGGUAUAUGAUUAUAUGAUCUGUAUUUUCUGUUAGGAGAAGGCAAGGUGAUUGUGAUGACGAACGAGAAGCCAUCAGCCUUAAAUGGCUCAAAGCACAGGGAAGGGAGACCAACAGCAAGGGGGAAAUGGAGCAAACAGGAUCAGUUUGGGGAUGGACAGCAGAGCAGGUCUGUGAGUGUCCAAGUGUCAGCUGUUGGAAAUGUCAAAAGAAUACUGUUACACCAUAACAAUUGGGGGGAAAAAAAACUGGGCAGUGUGGUGGAGGUGCUGCUGUGCAGGCCUGCUCAGGCAGCUGUUUUGUUAAGCAUAAUUUUCUUGUACAUGACUGAAUCAUAUUUUUCCAAGCUGAGGAAAAAAGAAUCUGAUAUGUUUUCUUGAGAAUUUAUCUGAUGACAGCGCGUUUACUGAACUUCUCACAAAAAUCAUCACAUAAAUAUUUGAUUCUGAUUGCGAUUUCAGCAAGUUUAUUUCCAAGAGCUUGAUUUAUAGAUAAAAUUCUGUGUACCAGUCUCCAAAUAAAACAAAGACUGAGAAUAUGAAAGAGACAAAGUUACUGGGUUUUAUUGUAACAUAUUUUCAGCUACUCCUUUUUAUUUUAAGGAUAUAAACUGCAGAAACUAAGUGAAGAUGGAGAAAAUCCUUUCACUUAUAAUAAUUUGCAUUUCAAUAUUAGCUUCUUUUGCCUUCCUCUCCCAGUCUCUGACAAAUUCCUUGCUGCAGUUCUCACAUGAAAAGUCCUGAAAAGCAAAGCAAACAUCUGAACACUGUUGAAUUAAAAGAUUGAAGUAAUACAACACUAUUCAGGUUAACAUAAAUGUAAAGAACCAGUUAUAAUCUGAUUUAAUUACAUGACUAGAGACUUUCUGUCAGUGGAGUAAAUUUCUGAUUUACAAAGAAGGCCUGGAUGCAUUGGAACAUUUAUACUUCUUUUUUUUUUCCCAUGGUCAUGGUUUUAGAGAAUGAACUUCUGACCAUAAGGAGGCAUACAAGGAAACGAACAGGUUCCACUGUCCAUCACUGCAGAGCGGAGCUAUUCUCUGCUUGUGAGUUGAGCUCAGAAUUCACUUGCUGCUAAGCCUGGUGAAAAUAAGUGGAAAUUCUAUUAAGUCUCUUGCUCUCCACUUCUUUUGGAUCAGAAUCUCAUUACUUUAAAGUACUGUUACUGAAACAGUUUGGCAUCAAAUGCCUGAAAUGUGUCCUUAUUUCUUGAAAUUAGUACUAAUUCUAGCGGUAGUUGAAAGUAAUUUUAGGAGUGUGAACUGGUGCACUGAGAUUAUAAAUUGGCACUGCAGAUGUUCUUUUCAAUUCAUGAAAGCCAGUGGAAGUUUUAUCUGGCUGAGGACUUAGUGCCCAGCGUGUCAGGGCCUCAUCCUGGCUUUGCUCAUAUGCACAUUUUGUGAAUUCUUUUUAUGAGUUGCCAUAGAGCAUGUAUGAAUACCUUUUUUCUUUCUUGAGGAUGGAAGAAACCUUUCAAACACGGUUAGCAGGCCAUACAUUUUCCAAGUACUUCAUGACGUCUAACUUUAAUAUCAAAAAAAAAUUAUGUGGUAAUUUGCAUGAAGUCAGAACUGAUGAACUUUAGAUUUCUUAGCCCUGCCAUAAAGGAAGCAGUCAGGUCCAGUCAACAUGAGAGAUGAGAAGCUUUUAUUUACUCUUCUGCUGAAUCCCAAAGGAAGAAUAAGGUCAGGGAGAGGACGUUAAACUGUACAAUAUUUGGGCAGUGAGCUCUGCACAACGUAAAUUGAAUAUACAAUUCAAGUACAAGCUUGGUAAAGGAAUCCUCACUGUGUAUAUGAAAUGUUUCCCUGAUGAAUAGUCAAUGGCUCUGGUUUGUGUUUAAAUUCCUCCCUCUGCACUCAUGCAUUUAGGAAACUAGGUUGGAAAAGAUUCAUUUCUGUCAUUACCAGGCUUACUGGAACAAACAGGAAUGCUUCCACUGUGAAGAAAUUCUUUAUGAAAGAGACACUGAAGCAGUGGUGUCAGGUGGGGAAGCCAUAUCUAGUGUUUGUCAUAGCUUCUGUAGAAAGGCUGGCUGAAAAAGUCAGGGAUGCUCUGAAGAAGCAUGAUAUUUUGGUUUUCCAAAGUGCACCACCUGUUUACCAUGGUAAAUUACACUUAAAUAUAGGAAGUGUGCAAAUGGCAGUACCUCAUCACUUAAGCCUAGGCCUUCACCCACAAACAGCUGGUACAUUUGACCUGGAAACAUUUAUAAUGGUUAUUCCUGCCUUGACUAGCCGUGCUUUCUAACUGAGAAAACAAGAGCACAGCGUGGCCUUGACUGUGGUCUAACUGCACCACCCUGCGUGGCAUGUCUGGCCCAUGCUACCAACCUAUUUUUAAAAAGGAGCAGCGUGUCAUUUGAAGAAACUGUUUUCAGCUUCUAUUGCUGGAACGUAAGAAUCACUUUUAUCCUUCCUAACCAAAGAAAAGGAGGUGGAGAUAUUAAGAAAGGUAUCUAAAUAUAUCCAUUAAUUGAUGAACGUGCUAGCUUUGUUGCUUGUAUGACAAUAGAUGACUUCUGUUGAUUGAAUAAAUACUGGAGUAAAUGGAGGGUUUAGCUAGAAAUUGUUUUUGUGGGAAGCUGUCGUUGUGGUUGUGGCAUUAAACAAGUUCUUUGAAAACAUAGAAAAGAUUAAUCAUUGGCAUCUAGAGAGGGGAAAAAAAUGUUAGUGAUGUUUAUUGAAGGCAUCGUUAAAUGCCAUGGCUUAUUAUAAGACAUGAAAGAAAACAAGCUUCAACAAACCACAGCAGAAGGAAGAAGUUUUUUUUCUAAUAUUACAAAUUUUUGGAAGAGCUGAGUUUCUGCUUUAUGAGAACAAAUAUGUCCCACUCCAUAUUUAACCUUUCAGGGGGAUGAAGGAAGUUACUGCAAGAGUUCGUUAAAUAGGCACCACUUUAACAGUAUAUAAUUCUUUGAUGAAAGAUAGGAGAAGGAAAGGAGGCAGAGAAUGUGCCCCCUUCAUGUAAUCUGCAUGAAGAACAGCAGAUCUUUUCUGCUGUGUGUGCUGUUUCAUGAAGUAAAGUAAGACAAAGUAAGACAGACUAAAGUAUCAUUCAGCUCUUUUGGAUAUUCAUGUAAUGUCAAAUUUGAGAAAUGUCACUUCUGAGCUCAGCUAUAAAAAGUACUGCGUGUAUUUCAGCUCUUCCAAGUACAGCGCGUGAAUGGGACCAUCAGCUACUCCAGAUUUACUCAGAAUAUUUGACCCAGUAUUUUAAAGAUAUGUAUCUAUUUGUUAAUCCUCCAAAAUCGUGUUUUAAUAUUUAUUUUAAUAAUUAUCCUCUAUUCAGUAAAGAAGUCAGUGGAUGUUAUGUAAGAGUCAUUUUAAUACAGAAACCAGAUGGAGGUAGGUAGAUGUUCUUGUUAGAUGCUGUUUACCAUUCAUUUAUAGUGGUUUAUACCUUUUUUUCUCCAAGAAUAAAGGAGAAGUGUAUGAAAGAUUCAAGACUAAGCUUUCUUGGCUUCCCUUUAUCCUUGCUAUCCUACUCGUAUUUUGCAGCUUUUGAGCAGAUAGAAGGAAAAAGUUCAAUUAAACUUCAGCUCUAGGUAACCCUGAUAAUUUCUAGAGUAAGAUCUCAUAUAAAAGCAUGUGUUUUAUACUUUAUUAUUGUCUUCUAGUGUUGUACCUAACCAAUAUUUAAAGGCUAUAUCCAUUUUACAAAUCUGUGUUCCAGACCUUUUUGUUUUUGUCUUUUACUACAUGAAAAGGAGCAGCCAAAUUUAUAAAAGGCCUAUAAUAAAUGACUAUUCCAUGCCCCUAAGAUCAUCAGGAUUACUAGUGCAUCCUGAACAUUCCUAAACAAUGAAAAACUGUACUGUCCUACCCAAAUUGUUUUAUUUCUGUUAGCUGGUAUAAAAACUUCUGGAGCUCCUGGACUCCUCUGUGUUUGUUGUCAAUAUAUCUGGGCCAUGUUGGGAGAGUGCAAGUUGAAUGGGCAUGCAGCCAAAGCAGCCCAAAAGAAACUCUAGGAUCUUGUGCAAUCACACCAUUAGUAUAUGGAUGGAUGCAUCAGUGUUCUUUGGCCUGCUCCUUAUGGUUUUAUCUAUAUAACAUAGCCAAUAACACUCCUUACCAAUACUUAGAAUCAAUACCUUGCAUUGAUUGGUAGCAAGGAGCAACUAAUUGAGGAGAAAAAGUAAGAGAAGUUUAAGUUACUUUAUAUUGCACUGACAUGAACAUGUAUCAGUGCAGACACGUGGAGAACUCUUUCUAGUUACAGAUUGUAAGCAGAUGGCUAGAUUUGCAAUAGCUAAUGCUCAUAACUUGCCAUUGAAAGAAAAUGUAAAAUGAAGCAGCAAUUCUUAUGCCUAUUUCACUUCAUUCAAUAAGACUGUAUAUUGAACUUACUGAACUUUGCAAUAAUGUUUCCCUAUCUAUCAAAAAAGAACAGAGGUAGUGAUGACAUAGUUUAUUGCUUACUUUUGUUUCCUGUAGAGCUAGCAUGUUCCGUUCCAUUUGCCAUACAGUUCCUGCAAAAUAGUAUUUGGUGUUUUGUUUUCAAAUCAUUACCUUUCAUUUUUUUUUUCCUAUGCUAAAAGUGAAGUUCAUUUAAAAAAAAAAAGUGUUUAAUCAGGGUUUGCACCAUUAUUUGGUAAAAGAUGAUGACAGAGGCAGCACUCUACUUCAAAGACAUAUCAGUCUUUUUAAUAACAUGCCAGUGGUAAUCUUUCUGUGAGUUUCCAAACCAGAAAAUGAAAAACACGUGAGGCUAUUCUACUAUGAAAGAAUGGUGUGUUAACUCUUUACCAUUCCGUUAACAAAUGAUGAGCUGCAUAAAUCUCUACAAAUGGAAAGAGGGAAGGCAAAGGUGAUGUAUCCUGGCUUCUAUUCUCAUAAUGAAGUAGACAGAAAUACCAGUUCCCCAGUGCAUCUUGAUGGUCUGUCAAAUUGGGCAAAAACAAAGGAGCAUUUGAUUAUUUCUGUGCUUCAAUUAGGGAGGUUUCUGUCACUCACGGCCUGCUGUCCUUCUGUGUCAGAGGAAACCCAGUGUAAUGAGACAUGCUGCUAAGAAGGUUCUGGAGGAGGCUAGAGCACUCUUACCUGCAAUACCUGAGGAAUGUGCUUUUGUAGAACACUCAAAACGUACUUAUGAUUCUUCGGGCACAUAAGGCUGGACAGUCCAUUCACAGAUGGCCUUGAAGUCUUCAGCUUCUCUUGACUCAUCUGUGGCUGUAUAAAAGUUUGUCAAAGAAUGUGUGCACAUUAGACAUCUGCCCAGCCUGCAGUGCCUGAGUCAGGCACACUAAUAAGCUUGUGGUUGUCCUUCACAUUCUCUGAGUUUUUACUUAUUAGGCAGAAAAAGUGUUUCAUGGAGAUUCAUAGAAUGGCUUGUGUUGGAAGGGACCUCAAGGAUCAUCAAGCUCCAGUCCCCCUGCCGCAUGCAGGGCCACCAACCUCCAUAUCUAAUACUAGACAUAUAGACUUAUACAUACAGACUACACUAAGUAAUCUAUUAGAGCUUGAGAUAAUGGAAAGUCAUUUGGAAACUGGGAUCAAAUGAGAAAGUUGCACUUGGGCAAUGCAUAAUGUGUACAUGCUAAAGAUUGGUCAAGAUGAAUACUCUCAUCCAGAAGUCCUGUAGAUACAUCUUCACAAUGGGAAGUAUUCCACUGAAGCUACCUGUCCAUAUUAACAUGGCACAGAAUCCACAAAUGCUUCACUCCACUUCUCAGGCAAGCAGUGGAAGAAUUCUUGUAUCUUUCAUCUGUUGCUGCAAAGUGGUGCACAAGUCAAAAUCACAAUUGAAAAGUUAACAGUUGAUCAACCUUACUAUAAGCCUACUGAUACAAGAUCUGCAGAAAGGAAGGACUGGAUUAUUUGGGGGAAGAAAGCAAAAACAUUCAGAUCCUACAUCCAGAAGAAUUGCUGUUAAUGUUUACAGGUUUCAUGUAUGUUCUUUUGCCUGAGCUGUGCUUUGGGGUGCAUUGGCUCUUUUCUCUGGAGUAAAACAUGAAAAAUCUUCCUUUCUUUGGUGAUCUCCAGAGCUUUUUAAAGGUACGGUAGAACAAUAGUACUCUCACAGUAGUUUUAAUGGGACAGAAGUGUUGCUGUGUUGUCUUACAGAUUUUAUCAAAUUGUGCUUAGAAUUCAUUCAUUUUGAUCACUCAUAUUAUAGACAAAAUUCUUCUUGUAGGAUGUUUAUAUGUCCCAGAGCAUUCAUAAUGCACUGUGUUCAGCCAUCUACAAGCAUUUAAUUACAGACCGUCUGUUUCAUGUAAAAAAUAUUUGCCAAGACUCUUUUGGCAGAGUAAGGAGUGAACUUCGUAAAGGAAAACCAAGUUGCUCAUCGGUGGUGGCAGCAAAAAUGAGGAAAAGAACUACCCAAGAGUUUCUUGAAGAUUCCAGUUGAUGGAUCCUGGCCUGAUUGGGUCUCUUAUAUAAACCUUGAUGGAAUGGUGCUAAAUUUUGCAUGGAAACCUUUAUUUUUUUCCCCACUUCAACAACUGUAGCUGAAUGUACAUUUAAAAAUGGUAUUUGAAAAUUAAACUCAUAAGACAUCAUUAUACAAGACAUAAGCACAAACUUAGUACAGAAAGGGAGAAAGCAUCCAGUCUUUGAAAAUAAUGUUUGUGCCUUGUGCUUUUUUAAAACAUAAACAUAGAUUAUCAGCACACUACUAAAGUGAGGCUGCAUCUCACCUUCCACAGUCUCACAGCAUAAAAAUAGCAUAUUUGAACUUACCAGAAGAUUGAUGUUUCUUUGCUUUCGUAUUACUUUUUCCUUUGUAUUUUAUGAAAAUGUAUGCCUUGCUGUCCAAUGUUGAAAAUAUCCACUGAGGUGAUUUUAAAGUUAAACCUGAAGAUUCAAGUUGGAAGUUACUGAAGGAUGAGUUUGGGUUUUUUCAAAGUGCUAUUAUUUUGACUCCUUGAGGGCUCCACAUGAAUACUUUACCUCUCCUUUUCUUUCUUUGGUUUGAGAUUCAUAACUGCAGCUGCUGUGCAAAGUAAAGUUUCCAUUGAGGACUAGCUGACCAAAUUUGUCAUGCUGAAAGUGAAAGUUGUAUCAGAAAGAGUGGGGUUUCCUUCAGUGCAGCAAGUCUGAGUACUGGAGCAGGUUCUAUUUCAGUCAUCCCUCCACUUCAGCAUAUAUCAACAGAUGGAAUCAGUGCAUCUUUUCUGUUGUACUUCAGCCUCCUACUCACUGACCACAGCAGGGACUAUGUCACGUCAUUGAGCACCAAGAGACACUGGAGAGAGGGAGUCCAACUGCCCACAGAGGCCCUGAGGUGCCUGGAGGAGGGAAACACCCCAGGGUAUCUCAUCUUCCUCCUCCACCCUCCUCCCAAAGCCAAAUGCCCAGAAUGUGCUGAGCUGAACUGAAACCCUGCCCUGUGGCCUUGGGGAGCAGUCAGCUAUGUGGCUGUAGACACCAUAUGCUGAGGGAGCACCACCUUCCUGCUUUCACUGGCAGAAGUGAGUUUCCCUUAAAAACCAGCAAAUUAUGCAGUUUCACACCUGACUCUUCAGUUGAGCAGGUGGAAAUGUCCUUUUCUGGGCCUCAACAGUAAAGGAGCCAAAGGCCAGGGGUCAGCUAUUAAGUUCAGCUGUUCCCUAUUGCAGGUUCAACUCAUGCUCCCUGGCCUGGCUGUGCUCUGAGGCACCUUGAGGCACUUGUGCCUUUGCGGUAUGAGCUCAUUUGUUGUCAUUUCCACUUUGGGGUGGGAAAAAAGGUCAUAAGAAGAGAUCAGUAAAUGUGCAGCAUUCAUAAAGCAAGGCCGCUUCAAAACAGACACGUUGCAGUGUUAUCAUAUCCAGGAAAACAGCAACAGACAGCGUAACUUUAAAAUACCACCCAGAAACUCUUGCUUGGAAAGGACAACUCACAGCAUCAAAGCCUGGACGUACUUGCCAAACCAUGCUUUAACUUACUGCCAAGACACCAGAUUUAUCCCCUUAGUAGCAAUGAUGCGCUAGGCAAGAUGGUGAUUGCUACAGCAAAGUGGGGAUGGGUUUGUUUCACAGUGGUCACGAUGACAGAAGGAGCCCUGCAGAUAUUAAUACUUGAUGAGAAAGGUACAUGAAAUUAGCCUGUGAACUGUUUGUGGAUAAAUAUCUCUCAAGCAUACAAUAAGAAUUCAAGCAAAUUAAUUUAACAGCUAGAAGUCAAAUGUAAUGAAAAAAUAUUUAUGAAAAUUUUGUAUGUUUAGGUGAAUAGUUUCAAACCAAAAAUAAAUGAGAAAUAAAUACAGCCUAGUAGAAAUUGGACUGUGUUUAGAUUCUGAUAAUCUGAAAGGGCAUUUUUUAGCAUAAGGAUAAGUUCAGGUGAUUAUUUAAAGAAUAAGAUCAGAAUGGCUGUUCUUGACUUUAAUUUGGAGCCAAAAUAUUCUAUGUAAAGAACUUGUAAAAUCCAUGUCCCCUUUAGUUCUACAGUCAGUAAUUACUCACAGGAUAGAGUAUUCAGAUUUAUGAGGAAGAAGGAGAGAGUGGCAGUAAGUUGUUACUUCUAUUUCCAGCCAAUGUUUGCAAAUUCAAUGGCAAUAACAAACCAAAAACCUGACUUUCUCCCUUCAAACCGCUCUAUAUCUGUGGUCAAAAAUGUAUAGCUAUGUUUUACAUCUUUUUUAGCACAUAAACAUUUAAGGAUACUUACCUCAACCACACGACAAUUUUCUGAGCCUUGCAAGUCUUACAAAUCCCUAAUCACAGUUGGAUGUAUUCAGUAAUGUAGAAUUAAGGAGUAACAGCUGAAAUGCACCUGGGUUAGGUGGCUACUGAGGUUAUAUGGUGUCGAAAUAAUAAGGUGUGGGUCUGGUUAGAGAGGGACCAGGCAUCUGUUCCCACCUCAGCUACAACUUCCCAUACUAGUACUCAUAUUGAGUACUGAGUAUUAUAGUACUGAGGAUUAUAGCACUAGUGAUUGUGCUAUAACAGUGAUUGUGAUUACUGAGGUAAUCUAAACAGAGAACUUUGCUUCUCUGGAAGUGGAGAAUAACUACUGUAUUUUAGUGACAUGCUGAUGGAACCUCAGUUUGGAUGUCCAAAGAUGUAGUUCCUGGCUGAUGCAUAUACAAGUAAAUUGUUACUGACUUAAUUUUGUCUUAAUGGGAUUCUUUUGUUGACAAGGUAAAUUUGUGACUUCUGAGCCGAGAAUUGUCUUUAGCUGGUGACAGCUUUCAUUUAGAGCAAGCAUUAUACUUAUUACCAUGACAGAGGCCCUUAAACAGGAAGAUGGAUAAAUUCUACUAGCAAGGAAUGGUAGCUGGCCUCUUGAUAACAUAUGGCAUAGCAUUGAACAACUUCCUGGAAACCUUAGCAGUGCAGAGGUUUGAAAGAACUGGACUGGCCUGCAGUUCAUAAACAUCAUAGGCUGAAUAAGCUGCUUCUAACUGCAUCAGAAACUUUUGCUCAUAUAUUUAGACUUUGCUUCUAGAACUAAAAGUGCUAAAAAGUGGCAAGACUAAAAAGGCAGCACAGCAAUAAAAAUUCCAUUUUGACUCUGGGGAGAGCCUCAGAGAUGUUGUGGUCAGAAUUUUCUCCAUUAUUUGCAAGUUCUCAAAGAAGAAUUUUCUUCAUUCUGGAUUAGCUUUUUGCAAAAUCUAUUAAGACUUUUAAUUUCAUUUAAAAAUAUUCUUAUGUUUUGAAACUUAGUCUGCAGGAAGUUUAACCAGACCUUAAUUAAGGACUCUGAGUGUGACAGAAGCUUGUGUAUCAACAAGGUGCUUUGCUUGUCUGCCCAAUAAAAAUACAAGGAGUAAUGCCUGUUUGGGGAGUAAGCAGAGCAGAAGCGAAGCAGGGAGGGGGGCACAAAUUAUGAGCUGCUUUGGUCUCCAUUGUCAGGAAGUACUUCACCACUUCCAUUGCCUCACUACAUCUCUUCUAUUAGAAAGCCUUUAUAAAUUACAGGAAUAAGUGGCCCUUAGCAAAUAACUUCAAAACAGAGCAACUAAAUAGGACUGAAGGAGAAUGGGAAACUCCAUUCUGCUACUGCUAAAGCAUAGUUCUGAGCUGCUGGCAUUUUUUCCCCCUCUCAGCUCAGGAUGAAAGACAAAAAUGUUAAUAAUUUCCACAAAUUGAAAAUCUGAAAAAUGUGAGCUGAGGUCAGCUGGAACAUUUCGUUUCUAUAAUUUUGUAAUAUCUUUUGACAAUGCUGAUCUGUCUUUAAUCAUUUUAUGCCUAAAUUUGCUAAGAUUUCAAAAUUUUAAGAAGUUCCAGCUUGAAGGAAACAAAAGCUUUCUAACUCAAAAUGUUGAAGAAAGACUAUAUUUUAAUGUUUUCAAAAAAUAAAUAAAUCAAGGAGCAAUAGGAAAUUGAGCCUUUUCUUAGCCAUUAGUCUGAGUCAUAACACAGAUCGGUAACAAAUGCUGUGUAUUUCAGUAGGAGAGCACUCCAGUGACUAACUUUUUUUCCUAUCCGGUUGACUGCAGUGACAUUUGGGUCAGGCCUACUAAGAUGGUUCUCCUAACUGUGCCAGUGCCAGAAAAAUGCUUGCAUGCUGAUAAGUCAAUGGAACAUCAAAGAGAAAUAUUCAUUUUUGUAGUCAAGAACAAGAUAUUUGAUGGUGGAACUAAUCCCUUGGCAAUAAAAAAUUUCCUUUACAGUCAAUUCUAUGAUUAAGCCAAAGCCACUUCUUUGUUCCUCCACCUGUCCCCGUGAGUCAGCAACGCUUUCCUCUUGCUUUUCCUCCAAGUCAGAUGACAGUGCCUCUCCUGGGCUGCAGACGCACAAGUGUUUUGCCUACAGUUAUGACUUGUUUAGCUU